rnacentral:tRNA from 1 species
GCAUUGGUGGUUCAGUGGUAGAAUUCUCACCUUCCAUGCAGGAGCCCUGGGUUCAAUUCCCAGCCAAUGCA